rnacentral:lncRNA from 1 species
UUAAAAGAAGGACGUAUAUAUAAAGUAACAACAAACAACAUCAAGUAACAACAAACAACAGCAAGUAAUGAUCGAUGCUCUUCCAGAAAAUAAAACUUUGUAAUUGAUGCUUGCAUGCAUGCAUCCAGUAGCUUCUAGCCGGUACAAGACCUAUUCCUUUUGGUUUCAUUGAUGAAACGCACCGACUGCCCAGCGCCACUCCUCAUCCAUAUGCGUGCCUUAUCCACACCGUCACUUCCCCUUCUCACUCACCGCUGCUCCUCCUCUUCUCCAGCCACUAUCACCCAGUGAUGCUCUUCCUCUUCUACACGCAUUGCAUGGACGAUGCACUCCACUCUCCUGGAGUGCACGCCGCCAUGGUUGCUGGCCAGAGCCAAGGCAGCACCCCUUAUCAGCGCGAGGAACCCAGAGACGCCAUGGAUGGCGCCAUGGAUGCUCCUCUGCCGUUGGUCUGAUCUGGCCGUCCCGCCCCAGUCGUCGGCCCGCUCCGGAUCCGGCCAGCAGCCUUGCCUCCGAUCCGACUCGGAUGGCCCUGCCUACAGCCUCCGCCACCUGCGGCAUGCCCCCCAGAGGUCCGACUGAUCUAGCCUGUCCACGAAGUCCAGCCGGCCCUCCUCCCGGGCGCGUUCCUCGGCCGUUGCCAUGUGCUCGGCCAACAACUUCGUUGAACUGGUGGUACACCCGAUGCAACUUGCCCUGCACUCCCUGGACACAUUGCUUCUUCUACAUCUACCUGAUGUUGUCCCUUCUCUUCUUCUCUAUCAGGGCAGCAUCAACCCCCUUUUCCCUGUCGGUGAGGAACUCCAGCAGAGGAUGGACUGUGUUUUGGAGCUCCUCGAUCUGGCCUCCCCCGCUCAGUUGCCGCUCCAUGCUCCGGAUCUGGCCACAGUAGGCCUCGCCCCCGACGACCAACAGGCUCAGAUCCAUCCCUUCCCUCCUCCUGUCCUCCACAUGCGUAGGGGCUGUGGCGCCAGAUCAAGGUAAGGGGCCCCUACCUCCUCCAACCGCGCGCGAGCAGGCCACGCCCGACCCCCACCCGCCCUCUCUCAUCCUAUCUUCCCCUUCUAUCUCUAAUCCCUCUCACAUGUUUUCUUCAGGGAGCCUGCCAAUGGAGGUCACCGCAUCUCCGUCUCGUUCCGUCCGCCGCCGGAUCCACCACGUUGUGCCAUGGAUGGGCGCCUUGCAGCUCCUCCUCCCGUCACCUAAUCUGCCUGCCCGCCCGUGCUCCAGAUCCGGCUAACAGCCUCGCCUCCGACCCGAUUCAGACAGGCGCCCACACAAUCUCACUCCGCCACCUGCGCCUCAGGUCUGACCGAUCCUGCAUCGCUCAUCCUCGCUGCUUUUCUUGUUUAAGUUAGCCCCGCUGUUUCUUUUGCUCGCAGCUUGCGAGGAGGCUAGGGCGCGCCUUGUCCAGCCGCGGGCUACCUGCUGUGUCAGUCAGCCCAGCCGCCUCGACCCGGCCUUCUCCUUCUCCGCCCCCAGCUCUAGGCCUCAAACAACUCCCACUUUUUGUAAAUCCUCCGUAGAGCAAGGGGCACCGGUGGUGGUGGUGUUCGCUCGGUGGACUCUGUUCCAUUUUCUUUGCUCCUUCACGCUUUGGCGAUUCCUUCUGUUCCCUUUCUCUGCUUGUUUUGAUUUCUAAUGUGGCUUGUUGAUUCUCAUGGCAACUCCGAGGGACUGUUAUGCAAAAUCGCGCACGACGACGUACGACAGAAACCCAAUUCUCUUUAUUAUUAUGUAAAGAUGUCCAAACUGUCUUGCAAGUAAAUUCAAAGUACUCACCUGGCUUGUUGAUUUGGCUAGAUAUCGACGAAGGCGAUCUUAUGGAUGAAGAGUACGAUAGCGAGUCUGACGCCUAGAGGAGUCCCAGUCAGUCCCGUGCGAUUCCUGGAAUUGGUCACUUGUAUCAUAUACGCUUCCGCUACCCGAAUAAAAUCAUCGAGCCACACUCCAGCGCUCAAUGAGCUGUAAGAUUUAGGAGUCAUGUCACCCAUGUCACUGUGACAUAUCCACCACCACUUUUAUUACGAGUCAGUAGUUAUACCACCAUACUCCUCGUGUCAUAUCUGCCUUUAUGUAUAAUAGCAGUGAGCUUGUAAUAAAUUGUUGAGCAGCCUCAGCUCAACCUUGUAUAAUGUUUAGUGCUACUGGAUUUCUGUAUCAAGGAUUUGUCUACUAGUAAGGAAGAUUUUCCUAUACUGGUCCGAUAAAAGGGUUGGUUUCUCAAUAAAUGUUUUAUUGGAAAACCGGUCCUGACACUGUUCAUCGGGAGGGGUGUGGCAUACCACAAAACGGGACUCCACGGGAUAUUGUUC